rnacentral:rRNA from 1 species
CCUACGGGUGGCAGCAGUGAGGAAUAUUGGUCAAUGGGCGCGAGCCUGAACCAGCCAAGUAGCGUGAAGGAUGACUGCCCUACGGGUUGUAAACCUCUUUUGUCGGGGAGCAAAAGCCGGACGUGUCCGGCUGUGAGAGUACCCGAAGAAAAAGCAUCGGCUAACUCCGUGCCAGCAGCCGCGGUAAUACGGAGGAUGCGAGCGUUAUCCGGAUUUAUUGGGUUUAAAGGGUGCGCAGGCGGAUUUUUAAGUCAGCGGUAAAAUCGUGGGGCUCAACCCCAUCCAGCCGUUGAAACUGGGGAUCUAGAGUGUGCGAGAGGUAUGCGGAAUGCGUGGUGUAGCGGUGAAAUGCAUAGAUAUCACGCAGAACCCCGAUUGCGAAGGCAGCAUACCGGUGCACAACUGACGCUCAGGCACGAAAGCGUGGGUAUCGAACAGGAUUAGAUACCCGAGUAGUC